UACGUAGGGUGCAAGCGUUAAUCGGAAUUACUGGGCGUAAAGCGUGCGCAGGCGGUUUUGUAAGUCUGUCGUGAAAGCCCCGGGCUCAACCUGGGAAUUGCGAUGGAGACUGCAAGGCUUGAAUCUGGCAGAGGGGGGUAGAAUUCCACGUGUAGCAGGUGAAAUGCGUAGAGAUGAUGGACGGAAGCACCGAUGGCCGGAAGG
rnacentral:rRNA from 1 species